UACGUAGGGCGCAAGCGUUAUCCGGAAUUAUUGGGCGUAAAGAGCUCGUAGGCGGUUUGUCGCGUCUGCCGUGAAAGUCCGGGGCUUAACCCCGGAUCUGCGGUGGGUACGGGCAGACUAGAGUGCAGUAGGGGAGACUGGAAUUCCUGGUGUAGCGGUGAAAUGCGCAGAUAUCAGGAGGAACGCCGAUGGCGAAGGCAGGUCUCUGGGCUGUAACUGACGCUGAGGAGCGAAAGCAUGGGGAGCGAACAGG
rnacentral:rRNA from 1 species